CAGCGCCCCAAGUGGCAAUCGCGUUUAUUGGGCCUAAAGCGUCCGUAGCCGGACUGAUAAAUCCGCUGUGAAAUGGUUGUGCUCAACGCAACCGCGUGCAGUGGAGACUGUCAGUCUCGAGACCGGGAGGAGUUAGAGGUAUGCCGUGGGGACCGGUAAAAUGGUAUAAUCCGCGGUAGACCACCAAUGGCGAAGGCAUCUAACCAGAACGGAUCUGACGGUGAGGGACGAAAGCCAGGGGAGCGAACCGGAUUAGAUACCCGCGUAGUCC
rnacentral:rRNA from 1 species